GAUGAACGCUGGCGGCGUGCCUAAUACAUGCAAGUCGAGCGAACGGACGAGAAGCUUGCUUCUCUGAUGUUAGCGGCGGACGGGUGAGUAACACGUGGAUAACCUACCUAUAAGACUGGGAUAACUUCGGGAAACCGGAGCUAAUACCGGAUAAUAUUUUGAACCGCAUGGUUCAAAAGUGAAAGACGGUUUUGCUGUCACUUAUAGAUGGAUCCGCGCUGCAUUAGCUAGUUGGUAAGGUAACGGCUUACCAAGGCAACGAUGCAUAGCCGACCUGAGAGGGUGAUCGGCCACACUGGAACUGAGACACGGUCCAGACUCCUACGGGAGGCAGCAGUAGGGAAUCUUCCGCAAUGGGCGAAAGCCUGACGGAGCAACGCCGCGUGAGUGAUGAAGGUCUUCGGAUCGUAAAACUCUGUUAUUAGGGAAGAACAUAUGUGUAAGUAACUAUGCACAUCUUGAAGGUACCUAAUCAGAAAGCCACGGCUAACUACGUG
rnacentral:rRNA from 1 species